UACAGAGGGGGCAAGCGUUAUUCGGAAUUAUUGGGCGUAAAGGGCGCGUAGGCGGCGAUUCAAGUGACGGGUGAAAUCCCUCGGCUUAACCGAGGAACUGCCUGUCAGACUGGAUUGCUUGAGGCCGGGAGAGGCGAGUGGAAUUCCCAGUGUAGCGGUGAAAUGCGCAGAUAUUGGGAGGAACACCAGUGGCGAAGGCGGCUCGCUGGACCGGUUCUGACGCUGAGGCGCGAAAGCGUGGGGAGCAAACGGG
rnacentral:rRNA from 1 species